rnacentral:misc_RNA from 1 species
UUGAAACUUCUAGGGGCGAUUCGGGUGAUGCUCCGGCGGCAACGCCGUUGAUGCCGAUCCUGUUUCGCCCCGUCCACACCCACACCCCUGUGCACCUUUGGGUUUGGUCCUCGCUGGAUAACGGCCUGGCCAUCCCGUUUUUACAAACUCAGUCUAUAGAACGUGACCCGAGCCACGGCUCGUUAAAACAAAAUA